GUGUGGUGGUGGUGGCGGC
rnacentral:miRNA from 1 species